GACGAACGCUGGCGGCGUGCUUAACACAUGCCAGUCGAACGGAAAGGCCCUGCUUGCCGGGUACUCGAGUGGCGAACGGGUGAGUAACACGUGGGUGAUCUGCCCUGCACUUCGGGAUAAGCUUGGGAAACUGGGUCUAAUACCGGAUAGGAGCCAUCUUUAGUGUGGUGGUUGGAAAGUUUUUUCGGUGUAGGAUGAGCUCGCGGCCUAUCAGCUUGUUGGUGGGGUAAUGGCCUACCAAGGCGGCGACGGGUAGCCGGCCUGAGAGGGUGUACGGCCACAUUGGGACUGAGAUACGGCCCAGACUCCUACGGGAGGCAGCAGUGGGGAAUAUUGCACAAUGGGCGCAAGCCUGAUGCAGCGACGCCGCGUGGGGGAUGAAGGCUUUCGGGUUGUAAACUCCUUUCGCUAGGGACGAAGCUUUUUUGUGACGGUACCUAGAUAAGAAGCACCGGCUAACUACGUG
rnacentral:rRNA from 1 species